UGAGCCGCCAUGACAGAAAUGCGUGGUCUUUUUCCAUUCUAAGCUAGGUCGCUAGGUAGCCCCAAAUAUUGAUUCUCGAUCUGUCUCUCUCUAAUACGUACUGGCAUGGAGAGGAUCCCUCCGGCCAGCUACGUAUUACUACAUGUCUUCUCCUCGACUUUUCUUAAUUUGGCGUUUAAUUUGCACACUAAACUAGCACUACAGCUCGAUCAUAUGUCAUAUGUUAGUUCCUCUUGAUCAAGUAAUUUAAUUACUCAGGCUUGUUUCAGUGUAUGGACGUUCAGAUAAAAGAGCAAUAUAUAAAUUCAUAGUCAAUUAUUUGAUUUUAGCAUAUAUAGGACUUGAGACCUGGCUAUGUAAUGGGUUGCUAAGAUUGUUGCGGAUCAAGAACCUAGCUGCAGAUGAUUUGAACUAUCUGACCCAAUGUUUUAAAAAGCGCGCGUCAGGCGCGCCUUCAAGCUCAAAAGGCGUGAGGCGUGAAGAAAAGUGAGUCUGUUUUGCAGAUGAGGCGCAGAGGCGCAGGAGGCGGAGAUGGAGGCGUGGAAGACGGAGAAAUCGCGCCUUAAGGCUUGCUGAGCGUACGCCUGGAAUUUUUUUUUUUUUUUAUCACACCAAAACGACGUCGUUUUGGUGUUUUGAGAGGGUUUUUCAUUUAGUUGGUGUAUUAUACCCGAGCGAAGCCCCAAAUCCCUCAACAGCCUCCUCCCCGAGACCCCGACUCUUCAGUCUCAAGAGCACCCAAUCCCAAUCCCAAUCCCUUACUCGAAGAUAAAAUCAUGAAGAGCCCAUAUGUGUUUUGAAGAAUUGGAACAAGAAGGAGGUAUGAUCGAUCGAGAGAGGCGAAUUGGAGCUCCGGUUAUAGAAUCCGAUCGGCGAGUUUAGUGUCGAAUUCGGAUCGGCGAAGUCUGCGUCUGUGCGAUUGAAGGUGAGUUGUUUGUUCGUGUGAAUUGUGUGUGUUGAACUGUUGAUCUGCUUGGUAGUUGGAAGGAUGGUGUUUCGGAAGGAUGGUGUAUCAUGGAUGUGAACAUAGCUUGUUUCAUGACUUCACACAUGGUUAUUUGAUAAAUGGCAUCCCUUAGUAGACCCGGAUCCACAACCUGGAUGCUUUGAUGUUUAUAAUUGAACAUUCAAUUUCAAAGGUUUAAUAGGCUGAAUUUUUGCUAAGAGAGUAAACAAGUUAAGAUGAAUAUCCUGCCUCUGCUGAAGCCUCUGCUUGUCUUGCUUGUAAUUUUGUUCCCCAGUAUUGUUAAACCAAUUAGCAAAGCAGCUGAUGAUCACGACUGCCCAGUUUGUGACUAUGAAUGAACAUUACCUUUUAUUCCUUUGUAAUAUUCCCUUCAACUUUAUAUCUUUGGAUUUAUUAUAGGUUUGGUGAUUUUGUUGAAUCAUAUGGUUUUAGUACUUGCUUAUUAUGAAUGGAUGACAAUUUAUAAUGUUUUUUUUGUUACAAUACAUGUUCUAUAUAUAAGACUAGUUCUAUACGUAAAUACAGGAAAUUUAUACGUAAGGCUUGAUAGACCAAAAGAAUGUCUGCACUCUUCACGUAUGCAUGCAUGCAAGGCAACUCUAUCUCUCAAGUCUCCUAACCUUAUCCCACCUUCUUUAUAAUUAUCAUGCUUAUCAAUUGUAUAUGUAAAUCUAAUAUAAUAGAGUUCUACUCUAUCUUGUGUAACGACUUGUAGUGAUCACUAGUAUCUGUUGAAUAUAAAUACAUGGUAUUGGCCAUCAAUUAAGGUGUGCUCAAUACUACAUUUC